AGGUGCUUCUGGGAUUUACAGUUGCAACCAGCACAAAAAAUUAUGUCAUCUCUGCAUUGAACUAAAAGCACUGGCUUGUGAGGAGGGGGAGAAGUAGGGUCCUGUCCAGUUCCUGUGGGAGAAGAGGCAAUAAGGAAGAAAGAAAAGACAAGACAGAAAAAAGGGAAGGGAGCAGAAAAUGGAAUAUUUUUCAUGUAGUUUUGUUCAAUUGAAA